AAAGGCCCUCUCUGUGGCCAUGCCAGCCUGUCACUGUGACACAGCUACAGGGCCACAGAGAGGGCCUUUACACCUUGCAGGGCUGGGAAACACUCAUGACCCACAUGCAGCUAACCAUGUAACUGGGGUGAGUCGCUCUGCUCCCAGUAAGCCCCACACGCAAUCCACGGUACACUUCUCAGAAUAAGGAACAAAUGCUCUGUGCAUUUUUAUUACAAACACCAUGGUGGGCAGGUGCAGUGCCUCAAUGCCUCUAAUCCCAACACUUUGGGAGGCCAAAGCGUGUAGAUCACCUGAGGUCAG
rnacentral:lncRNA from 1 species